rnacentral:rRNA from 1 species
AGAGUUUGAUCCUGGCUCAGGACGAACGCUGACGGUGUGCUUUAGACAUGCAAGUCGAACGAGAAAGCCCUUCGGGGUGAGUAAAGUGGCGAACGGGUGAGUAACACGUGGGUAACCUGCCCCUCGCAGAGGGAUAACCGGGGGAAACCCCGGCUAAUACCUCGUACGUUUGUCGGGUCGCAUGGCUCGACUAGGAAAGGUAGCUUCGGCCAUCCGGCGAGGGAUGGGCCCGCGGUCCAUUAGCUAGUUGGUGGGGUAACGGCCCACCAAGGCGACGAUGGAUAGCUGGUCUGAGAGGAUGAUCAGCCACACUGGGACUGAGACUCGGCCCAGACUCCUACGGGAGGCAGCAGUCGGGAAUCUUGCGCAAUGGGCGAAAGCCUGACGCAGCAACACCGUGUGAGCGACGAAGGCCUUCGGGUCGUAAAGCUCUGUUGUUGGGGACGAAGGGUUAGGGGUUAAUAGCCCCGAGCCUGACGGUACCCUUCGAGGAAGCCCCGGCUAACUACGUGCCAGCAGCGGCGGUAAUUC